rnacentral:lncRNA from 1 species
CCUGAUGUCUGCCUGAAUAUCCCUUUGCUACUCCGAGCACAUCUCGUGCUACCUCCCUAACCAAGUUCGCUGUCUCUGACCACAUAACAUCCGCUUCCCCAGAACUUCUCCAAGCUCCGCCCUCAGCUAACCUCCUCUCCAACUCCUGCGCUUUCUCCUUAGUCAAAACACCCCAUCUAAUCCGCGGUUGUCCCCGAGCACCCCUCCUCUUCCUCUUCACCCAGAGACCGACAUCCAUCAC